rnacentral:rRNA from 1 species
UACGGGGGGGGCAAGCGUUGUUCGGAAUUACUGGGCGUAAAGGGCUCGUAGGCGGCCUAUUAAGUCAUGCGUGAAAUCCCUCGGCUUAACCGGGGAACUGCGUCUGAUACUGGAUGGCUUGAGUUUGGGAGAGGGAUGCGGAAUUCCAGGUGUAGCGGUGAAAUGCGUAGAUAUCUGGAGGAACACCGGUGGCGAAGGCGGCAUCCUGGACCAACACUGACACUGAGGAGCGAAAGCCAGGGGAGCAAACGGG